rnacentral:rRNA from 1 species
CUUGCUCUUGUAAAUCUUAGUGGCAAACGGGUGAGUAACGCGUAAACAACCUGCCCAACGGAUGGGGACAACAGACGGAAACGACUGCUAAUACCCAAUAGACUCCGGUUUCGCAUGAAACCGACAGGAAAGGUGGCCUCUCGAAGAAGCUACCGCCGCAGGAGGGGUUUGCGUUUGAUUAGUUAGUUGGUGGGGUAACGGCCUACCAAGACGAUGAUCAAUAGCCGGUCUGAGAGGAUGAACGGCCACACUGGAACUGAGACACGGUCCAGACUCCUACGGGAGGCAGCAGUGGGGAAUCUUCCGCAAUGGACGAAAGUCUGACGGAGCAACGCCGCGUGAGUGAAGAAGGCCUUCGGGUUGUAAAGCUCUGUUAUUCGGGAAGAACGAUUCGUUUGUAAAUAAUGAACGGAAGUGACGGUACCGAAAGAGAAAGCCACGGCUAACUACGUGCCAGCAGCCGCGGUAAUACGUAGGUGGCAAGCGUUGUCCGGAAUUAUUGGGCGUAAAGAGCGCGUAGGCGGUAUGAUAAGUCUGUCUUAGAAGUGCGGGGCUUAACCCCGUGAGGGGACAGAGACUGUCAUACUAGAGUCUCGGAGAGGAAAGCGGAAUUCCUAGUGUAGCGGUGAAAUGCGUAGAGAUUAGGAAGAACACCGGUGGCGAAGGCGGCUUUCUGGACGAGCACUGACGCUGAGGCGCGAAAGCGUGGGGAGCGAACAGGAUUAGAUACCCUGGUAGUCCACGCCGUAAACGAUGGGUACUAGGUGUAGGAGGUAUCGACCCCUUCUGUGCCGGAGUU